CUCCCCCUCUGCGCCCCGCGAUGAAGAUGGCGGCGGGCUGACGAUGGCGGUUGGCGGGAGGCCGGGCAGGUAAAGGAUUCUUCAGGAGUGAAGGAAGGAAAGUUGAGAGGGAUUGAAGAAUCAUUGAGGUCCGUUUACAUCCCGUGAAGCACAGAGAAUACCGAACAUGAACAAGGAGACCUUGAGCACAGCACUGAGUUUUUACCAAAGUGAUCGACCUUCUUGCGACCAGUUUCACAACGGUCGGAAACUCGAUUACCUACGCAAAGCUGAUCUGAGUUACUCUGAUUUUUUCCGAGACUUUCUGCUCCCUAACUACCCGUGCAUUCUGUCGCCCGAGUUCACCGCGGACUGGAGAAGCCGGCAAACGUGGGUGCGAGCCGACGGGAGCCCUGACUUUGAGCACCUGCUGAAACACUUUGGAGAUUGCGUGGUACCCGUGGCCAACUGUGAUGUUAAGGAAUACAAUGCAAACCCAAAGCAUAACAUGCCGUUACGGGAUUAUCUCAGUUACUGGAGAGAGCACAGGGGGAGCAGAUAUUCAUCUCCACGGGGUUGUCUGUAUAUGAAAGACUGGCACAUGCACAGGACUUUCCCCGAUCAUGGAGAAUACACAACUCCAGACUUCUUCCAAUCCGACUGGCUGAAUGAAUAUUGGGACACCAUCAAAGUGGAUGAUUAUCGUUUUGUUUACAUGGGUCCCAAAGGAUCGUGGACACCGUUCCAUGCGGACGUUUUCCGAUCCUACAGCUGGUCUGCCAACAUCUGCGGGCGGAAGAAGUGGCUCCUGUUUGCUCCUGGGCGGGAGGAGCAUCUCCGAGACAACAGCGGCAAUCUGGUUUACGACGCGCAGUCGCCCAUCCUGCAGAACGAGGAUUUGUACCCAAGAUAUAGUCAGUGCUGCCAACCCAUUGAGGUCUUGCAAGAAGCUGGAGAGGUCAUCUUUAUCCCUAGUGGUUGGCACCAUCAAGUUUACAACCUGGAGGACACCAUCUCGAUCAACCACAACUGGCUGAAUGGCUGCAACGUAGAUGUGAUGUGGAGCUUCCUGCAAGGUGAGCUCGCUGCGGUCCAGACGGAGAUUGGAGAAUGGAAGGACCACAUGGACGAUUGGCACCAGCACUGUCAGCUCCUGUUGAAAUCAUGCUCUGGAAUAAACUACUGUGAGUUCUACACCUUUCUGAAAAUAAUUUCUAAGAACAGGAUGGCCGUGCUAGAUGCCGCCGUUCCUCUCCAGACCGCGUCCCCGGCAGAACUGUUUGCACUCGGACCUUGCCACGCGCUCUUCGACCUGCACCGGAGCGAAGAUGUCCUCUCCGCACUGCUCGCCAAUGAGUACUUUGGCAAAUUGGACACAGACUUGCUGGAGCCUCGGCCUGAGCAGAUGCUGCAGGAUAUCAGAGAGGUGUUGGAUGCUGCCUCCUUGUAAUAUUCUGCCUGCAUGUGGCUAUCUCUCGUCAACCAGGUUGCAUUCAAAAUUGCACCUUGUGAAGUGAAAGAAAACACGAAACGGCAUCACCACGAAGAAGAUGGAUGUGGGAAUUAAAAAAUGAUGCUGCCUGACCCACUGAGUUCCUCCAGCACUUUGUGUGUUGAUCAAGAUUGCAGCAUCUGCAGUUCCUUGUGUCUCCACUUUCACUCCAGUCUUUAUACGCUAUAAAAUGGACCUUGGUGAGAUAUCCCUGUAACAGUUUUUCUCUAGAUGAUUGCACCGUACCCUGAGGCACACCAUGAGUCACAGGCCUCCAGUCUGAGAAGCAACCUUCCACCAUCACCCUCUGCUUCCUUCCAUGGAGCCAAUUUGCUGUCCAUUCGGCUGUUUCUCCUUGGAUCCCAUGCUAUCUAACCUACCAUGCGGAACCUUGCCGAACGCCCUUCUGAAGUCCAUGUACACAACAUCUACACCUCUGCCCUCAUCGACCUUUUUGGUCACGUCUUCAUAAAAAUUAAUAAGAUUUGUGAGACACGACCUCCCACAUACAAAACCAUGCUGACUCAGCCCUUCCCCAUCCAAAUGCCUGUAUAUCCUAUCCCUCAGAAUACUCUCUAGUGACUUUCCAACUACAGAUGUUAAGCUCACCGGCCUAUAGUUCCCAGCAUUUUCCCUGCAGCCCUUCUUUAAAAGAGGCACAACAUUUGCCACCCUCCAAAUGUAAUAGAGUAUCCAAAAUUAUGAGGCAAAUAUAGGAUAGAUAGUCAGAACCUUCCCCACCCCCAGGGUGGAAAUGUCAAAUAUUAGCUUGCAUAGCCUUAAGGUGAGAGGUGCAAAGUUUAAAGGACAUGUGUGGGGCAGGUUUUUUUACACAGAGGGUGGUGGGUGCCUGGAACGCGCUGCCAGGGGUGGUGGUGGAGGCAGAUACGAUAGUUGUGUUUAAGAGGCUUUUAGACAGGCACAUGGAUAUGCGGGGAAUGGAGGGAUACGGAUCACGUGCUGGCAGAAUUGUUCUCGGCAUCAUGUUGGGCACAGACAUUGUGGGCCGAAGGGCCUGUUCCUGUGCUGUGCCGUUCUCUGUUCUAAAAUCCUUCACAGCAAUGGCCGCCACUUGACAGAUUGAUUGAUUCUUCAACUGAAACGGCACUCCUUUUCCAGAAGAGGAACUUAGGAGCAUAUACUUGAAUAUGCACUGAGUCCAAAGACAAAAUAAAAGACUUUAAGGUUGAA